AUUGAACGCUGGCGGAAUGCUUUACACAUGCAAGUCGAACGGCAGCACGGACUUCGGUCUGGUGGCGAGUGGCGAACGGGUGAGUAAUAUAUCGGAACGUGCCCAGUCGGGGGGGAUAACGUAGUGAAAAUUACGCUAAUACCGCAUACGAUCUACGGAUGAAAGCGGGGGAUCGCAAGACCUCGCGCGAUUGGAGCGGCCGAUAUCAGAUUAGGUAGUUGGUUAGGUAAAGGCUCACCAAGCCGACGAUCUGUAGCUGGUCUGAGAGGACGACCAGCCACACUGGGACUGAGACACGGCCCAGACUCCUACGGGAGGCAGCAGUGGGGAAUUUUGGACAAUGGACGCAAGUCUGAUCCAGCCAUUCCGCGUGCAGGACGAAGGCCUUCGGGUUGUAAACUGCUUUUGUACAGAACGAAAAGGUCUCUACUAAUACUAGGGGCUCAUGACGGUACUGUAAGAAUAAGCACCGGCUAACUACGUGCCAGCAGCCGCAGUAA
rnacentral:rRNA from 1 species